AGGUCCAUAACUACUGAUUUCAACUGUUGUCUGGCCGUGCUGCUGGUGGCUUAGGAAACCUGUCCCAGGACCUCUUUCACCUCUUAGCAUGUGUCAGCGCCAUCAACCAUUGUUUCAGAGGCCUCUUUGAGACUGGGACAUUGAUUUGAUACUUGGCAGUUCCCUGCUGCAUUGAGUUUGGGUCUUUUCCUUGGGCAAGGCAGAUGGGCCUACAGCUCUAUUUUUGGAGGCCACAGAGAGUGGCGAUUUCACAUGCAGCUCCUGGAACGUGCAUUUUGGAGUAUUAGGGCAGCGAGUCUGUUGAGAAGCACAGCAGAAGAAAUCCUGGGCCAACCCUUUAUGUGCUGUGUCAGACUGGCUUAUUAUCCACCCUCCUGACUCCAGGGUCAGUCAGACCUCACUGCCAGCUCUACCUUCCUGAGCCACAAGGACCUUUGCAACACUGGUGGUUACAGACUGUGUCUACCACUCCCACUUAACCUACGGAUAAGGACUUAUGUGGGAUGGGGGGGGGAUGCUUCAUUCACCUAUGUUACUUUUACUCACCCCAUCCCAGUCAUUCCUUCCUGUGGUUGUUUGAUUAGGAAUAGGGGCCCUCAUAGACUCAUGUGUUUGAAUGCUAGGCCCAUAGGGAGUGGUACUAUAGGAGGUGUGACCUUGUUGGAGUAGGUGUGGUUUGUCUAAGGAAGGUUGUCUCUGGGGGUGGGCUUUGAGGUCUCCUAUGCUCAAGCUAUACCCAGUGUGGCACAGUCUUUCCCUGCUGCUUUCGAUCAUAGAACUCUUGGCUCCUCCAGCACCAUGCCUGCCUAGAUGCUGCCAUGUUCCCACCUUGAUGCUAAUGGACUGAACCUCUGAACCUGUAAGCCAGCUCCAAGUAAAUGUUUGCCUUUAUAAGAGUUGCCUUGGUCACGGUGUCUCGUCACAGCAAUGAAACCCUAACUAAGACACUUCGUAUCAGAGGUUAGACCAGUUCAGUCAUAUUUUUGCUUUCAAGGUCCAAAUGUAAGAAACUGGUAAUUCCCCAGGGUAUUGUGGCCUUGAUGGCUGAAUCCACAAACAGAGCCCUUAUUAUGGGAAGGGAAUGUCAAAUUUCCUCUCAGCAGAGUGAGAAUUUGGCAUGUUUUCAUGGAUGUCUUACAAGGGAACAGCAGCCAACCCUCCACCCCCACUCAGGCCUGGAGGAGCUGCUGGGACCAGGAGCAUGUAGGACAGCUGAACUGUGGAUCAGUGGUCAGAGAAACAUGUCCCUGCUGUCUGUCCAGGAAUCAGUCUCGGCAGCCCCUUAGGCAGAGGAAUCUCUCAGAGUCUGGGUUGCGAGCAGGCUGCCUGAGUUUCAGCAUUCCUAACCAGCUCCCAGUACUGCUACAGCUAUCGCCUCUGCUGCAUCCACAAACCAAACAGAGCAGCAAGAGCUUACAUCCUUGCCUGAUGGGAUUGUAAGACCUCAGAUUCGGAAUUUGACACAGGACUUAAUGGCCUUAGGCCAAGCAUGGCCGCAAGCCUCAACACCAAAGCUUCUUGCCUGCUGGGAAGGGCCUCUGCCACCUUCUGUUUGGGGAUCAUCCGCCUUUCCAAAGAGAUGAAAUCAGCAGUUUGCAAUUUGGGCAAAACACGGUUAUGUUAAACUGCCUGGUCCCCACUACAGCCCUCUAAAGUUACAUAAUGUGUCCUUGUUACAAAGACCUAUAAUACCAUUUGGUAGCGGGAAGCGGAUUGCAGACUGCUUAUUGCUGAUGGGUGGGGCUAGGGCUGGGGUCAGGGAACUGGGCAGAAUGUGGGAAGGGUUUAAAGCAAAAAAGGGGCCUGGCAGAUGGAGAGGGCAGGAAGGCUCUGGUAGCCAAGGCUUGGGGAUAAAACUGAUUGGUUUGUCAGCAAAAUCUGUCAUUGGCUUUGGCAAUUCAAAAGGCAGACACGUUUGCUCAUCUCUGCUAAUCCUCAUCCGAUACCGAGGCUUUUCCAGCUACUAUCUGAAAGAAAAAUAAACAGUCAACCCUGCAUGCAUGC
rnacentral:lncRNA from 1 species